rnacentral:rRNA from 1 species
AAGUCGUAACAAGGUUUCCGUAGGUGAACCUGCGGAAGGAUCAUUACCGAGUGUCGGGUUUGCCCUCGCGGCGCCCACCUCCAACCCUGUGUCAAUUGUACCUCUGUGUUGCUUCGGCGGGCCCGUUGUUCGGGCUCACGCCUGGACGACCGCCGGGGGAGCUUCAUCGCUCUCCGGGCCCGCGCCCGCCGACAGCCUCCAACCAAAAUACUUAUAAACGCGUCUGAAACAAUUAAAGAUUAAUUAAAUUAAAACUUUCAACAACGGAUCUCUUGGUUCUGGCAUCGAUGAAGAACGCAGCGAAAUGCGAUAAGUAAUGCGAAUUGCAGAAUCCGUGAGUCAUCGAAUUUUUGAACGCACAUUGCGCCCUUUGGUAUUCCGAAGGGCAUGCCUGUUCGAGCGUCAUUAUCACCCCUCAAGCCCUCGUGGUUUGGUGUUGGGCCAGCCCGGUGUCUUCGCACCCGGGCGGCCCCAAAGACAAUGACGGCGCGUCGGCGGACCCCAGUACACUGAGCUCUCGGGCACGUACUCGGUUUAGGACCUCGACGUCGACCGGUCGCUUUUGGCGGGCGGGUGUAGCGAUACCUCGCCCCCUAUUUUUUGAAAGUUGACCUCGGAUCAGGUAGGGAUACCCGCUGAACUUAAGCAUAUCAAUAAGCGGAGGAAAAGAAACCAACAGGGAUUGCCCUAGUAACGGCGAGUGAAGCGGCAACAGCUCAAAUUUGAAAUCUGGCGUCAAGCCCGAGUUGUAAUUUGUAGAGGAUGUUUCGGGUACCGCCCGGGCUUAAAUUUCUUGGAACAGGAUGUCACAGAGGGUGAGAGUCCCGUCUGGAGCCUGCGGUAGGGCCUAUGUGAAGCUCCUUCGACGAGUCGAGUUGUUUGGGAAUGCAGCUCUAAAUGGGUGGUAAAUUUCAUCUAAAGCUAAAUAUUGGCCAGAGACCGAUAGCGCACAAGUAGAGUGAUCGAAAGAUGAAAAGCACUUUGAAAAGAGAGUUAAACAGUAUGUGAAAUUGUUGAAAGGGAAGCGCUGGCGACCAGACUUGCGGGCGGUGGUUCCCCCUUCCUUUUGGUUGGGCUACUCCAUCGUCAUCAGGCCAACAUCGGUUGCGGGGGCCGGUCAAAGGCUUCGGGAGUGUACCUCGGCCCCGGCCUUGACUUAUAGCCCGUCGUGUCAUGCGGCCUCCUGCGACCGAGGAACGCGCUUCGGCUCGGAUGUUGGCGUAAUGGUUGUCAGCGACC